AGGAUAAUAGUUAAUUAUAACAUUUAAUUUGCAUUUAAAAAGUACUGUAAGACAGUUUAUCUUA
rnacentral:tRNA from 1 species